rnacentral:lncRNA from 1 species
GCCCCCAAAUAUAAGACAUACAAUCCAUUAGGAUAUACCACUAAUCAGCUCUACUAGUUAGGCCUAGAGAAAAAUUAGCUUUGAUUUAUACGGUCACAAUUAAUCCUAUGACUGACAAAGAGAUUAACUAGUCUUGAAAACAAACACAUGGUACAUUAGUGUGUGCCAACGACUACUCCGACUGACUAGGUCCAAAAAGAUUAACUUUACUAACGAUCAGUCCAGACUGGCUAGGACUAGAAAAAACUAAUUUCUAACAUAUAGUCAAUUAUUAGUCCCAUUGGCUAGACCAGAUCAUAGUCUAAAUAAAAAAUUUUUCAUUAGUUCUCAUAAUAUAAUCAUAUUUAUCUUCAUAAUAAUUUUAAAUUUGAAG